ACUGCCAGGGCAUUCAGUUUAUAGUAGGAACAUUUGUUUUUUCUGUCUUUCCUCUGUUUUUUUUUUUUUUUUUUUUUUUAUCAGUACUAGCGUUCCUGCUAACAUGUGCAAAUUGCAAGCUAGCCCAUGUAACAAAAUGCUAGUUUGAUUUGGAUAAGGAUGAGUGAUGCAUUCAAACUCCUCGGGCUGAUGGUAACUUAGCUGAACUUAACUUAAAAUUACUUUAUCAGCUUUAGUAACUAAAGUGUUUGUUACAGCUGGUUAGUUUGUCAAAUUGCUUUACCAAGGAAUGUGAUUCAUAAUCCUAACCUUACUAUAAGCUAUGUAGCCCAUUCCUAGCAUUGGUUGCCCCAAAUGUAGUUUUCAUGAUGCUGAUACUCAGGUAUAGAAUAUAUACUAGCCUCUAUUAGCUAGUGUGAUGCUGGAGGAUUAUUUGUAUAUCCAGACCUACAUCCCUAGCACUGUGCACCACUGGAGUAUGGUCAGCUGCAACCAUUAUCGUUCAGUGUAGGGCAAAAAUUCAUGUCUGCAUUUCUUCAAACUAACUUGGACAGCACUAAUCCCUGCAAAAGAGUGUUGGUAGGGAUUGGUUUUCUGCAAUUUAUACACACCGAUCUUUAAUUUAUAUUGUAUAUAAAAGAUGGAUGAAGCAACUGUGAUAUCAACCAUUGGUUUGUGGAUUCUUCAUUUUAAAGCCUUUAGCUAUAGUGCUUUGGCUGGUGCCAUGUUGAUUCUUUGGAGCCAGACGUUAGCAUAUUUAGACCUGAGACUUUUGUAAUAAGAUAUCAGCUAAAAUGCAUAGAUGCGGUGCAUUGAUACACAUACUUGCUAAUUAAGAGGCUAUAAUAUUAUUAGAAUUCCAGUCACUAAAGCUGGAGGAUGAACUUCUGAUACAGUCUGUACCGCAUGAUCAUUUUAUUAGCACGCUCACGGCUGAGAGGUCCAGUUUUAGUGACUCAGCUGGGGGAAGUAAGGUCGAACAGACAGAUACCAGCUACAGCCGGUUGUGUCAGCACAUAGUGAAAGCGACCUUACCUCUAACAUUAAGCCUUAAUAAAACUGGAGUUAUUCGGAAAUUCACUUGCAAUACAGCUAUGAAGUUUUUGGUGUGGUAGGGAGGAGCUGUAUUUGUACACCUCAUUUUGCUGACAUGUAAAGAGGAAGAUGAACGUGCGUUGCAGCUCUGAUGCAGCAUCCCUGAUGGAAACAGUACAGCGCUGCUACGGAGUGGCCACAAACUGGAAGAUGUGAUGAGCCUUACUGCUCCCAGCAGUCUGGACGCAGGAAGAUAACCACAUGCUUUUGACUUUGUGUGACUGUAGCUGACGGGGAGUAUUUAUAAAGUUAAUAAAGAUGACCUGCUUCCUAUGUUUUGUUUUGUUUUUUACAGAAGUACACAUUUGUGUGUAUGUGUGUUUGAGAUGGAGAGACUGGUAUUUGUUGAAGGAAGAAGCUCUUCAUUUAGACUCUUUAUUUUUGCACUUGAGCGUGGAGCACUUUGCAGUAAGACACCAGGCUUCUGUUAGAUGGGGCUUUAUUUAAAUCUGUGCUACAGCUGAUUUUUUUAUGUUUAUCUGCGUGUGCAUGUAUUUCUGGCUCAACAAACUACCCAGCUCAGAUAUCCUCCAGUGCAUGUUACUUAUCUACAUGUUCAUUUUGAUUACACUGUUGUAACUGGAAAACAUGAAACCGGUAUGCAUAUUUAUUAUACAAAUCAUUUCACACACUGUGUGUGUGUAUGUGCUUUGGAGCGAAAGGUAGAGUGAUGUAUACUCACAGGAUAAUCUUUUAUCCCUUAAUUUCUUACCUUAUUUCCAAGUUCUGUUCCUGCUGUACAGCUAGAACCCUGUGUGCAAUCAUCUGGUAAUAAACAAAU
ensembl:lncRNA